rnacentral:rRNA from 1 species
GAUGAACGCUGGCGGCGUGCUUAACACAUGCAAGUCGAACGAUGAAGCCGGAGCUUGCUCUGGUGAUUAGUGGCGAACGGGUGAGUAACACGUGAGUAACCUGCCCUUGACUCUGGGAUAACUGCGGGAAACUGUAGCUAAUACCGGAUACGACCCUCGGCGGCAUCGCCAGGGGGUGGAAAGAAUUUCGGUCAAGGAUGGACUCGCGGCCUAUCAGCUAGUUGGUGAGGUAACGGCUCACCAAGGCGACGACGGGUAGCCGGCCUGAGAGGGUGACCGGCCACACUGGGACUGAGACACGGCCCAGACUCCUACGGGAGGCAGCAGUGGGGAAUAUUGCACAAUGGGCGCAAGCCUGAUGCAGCAACGCCGCGUGAGGGAUGACGGCCUUCGGGUUGUAAACCUCUUUUAGUAGGGAAGAAGCGAAAGUGACGGUACCUGCAGAAAAAGCACCGGCUAACUACGUGCCAGCCGCCGCAGUAA